rnacentral:miRNA from 1 species
UAUCAUCGAUCACGUGUGAUGA